rfam:Vibrio ezurae NBRC 102218 DNA, contig: VEZ01S55.
CCAUCUGUAUCACCAGAUGAACCUACGAGCCUGAAUAAAGCAGCGGCUCGGACAAUGUAACGAAACUUGGCCGUUGGGCUGAGUGGGAAAAGAAUCGUGAGAGGACGUUCCUCCUGAAAACCACAAUUCGGGUAAGUGC